AUUGAACGCUGGCGGCAGGCCUAACACAUGCAAGUCGAACGAGUGGCGGACGGGUGAGUAAUGUCUGGGAAACUGCCUGAUGGAGGGGGAUAACUACUGGAAACGGUAGCUAAUACCGCAUACCAUCGGAUGUGCCCAGAUGGGAUUAGCUAGUAGGUGGGGUAAAGGCUCACCUAGGCGGCGAUCCCUAGCGGGUCUUAGAGGAUGACCGGCCACACUGGAACUUCGACACGGUCGAGACUCCUACGGGAGGCAGCAGUGGGGAAUAUUGCUCAAUGGACGCAAGCCUGAUGCAGCCAUGCCGCGUGUAUGUAGAAGGCCUUCGGGUUGUUAAGUACUUUCAGCGGGGAGGCGUUACCCUCAGAAGAAGCACCGGCUAACUCCGUUCCAGACGCCGCGGUAAUUC
rnacentral:rRNA from 1 species